UGCAACUGAAAAGUAGAAGAGGAAAACGAGAACUGACAUCAAGCAUACAUCUCCUGGAGCAAAUGGUGCUUUUUUACACCAAAAUGCUGUGAGACUAUCUUGGCCUUUCCAUUCUUGGCACCUGUGGUAGCUUUCAUUCCGAACAUUUUUUAAAGAGAUAACAUUUCACUUUUUUUUUUUUUUUUUUCCAUGUACAGAGUUGGUACCUUCUUCUGAUAUGGGGGAGUUACAGCUAACUCACAUCAGUGUUACUCAUAUUUGUAUAGGAAACUUGGCUUUCAGAGUACACAGUGGUAUGUGUAGAAUCCUCCAUGUAUGCAGUCCUGGGAAAUGAUGCAUCAAACAACACCUUCUGCAGACAAUUUUGAAGAAACUGGAAAACCUAUUAGCAGUGUUACACCAGUUUUCAUCAAUGGUGCUCAUCACCAUGUUCCAGCAGACUUCAUCUCUCCACUUGAAUUUGAUCAGAAAUAUCCUGUGGUGAAAACAACUUUGGCAGCAGUACCAGAAAGACCAGUGCUGUCCACCUGAUUGCUGUCCACCACCUCAAGACUCUUCAUCCGGAGGCAGAAUCCUCUGGAUGGCAGAACUUUGUCUUUACGUAUGGAGAAGUUAUUCCUCUUCCUUCUAUGUUGUUUUGUCUACAACAUCAGCUCAAAUUCAUGUUUAUCAUGAUAUUCAAGAAGCUCAGGGGCAGAACUUUCCUACCUACAGAGCACCAAGUUGCACAUAUUGAUCCUACUUUCUGCUAUCGAUGGAGAACUACCUCAAACAAACUAGAACUGGCUAUACUCUAGCUUAAUGCUGAAGGUUGAAAGUGCUGUAAAGGUGUCAUAGAAGAGUAAUAUGAUUUCUUAACUGUAAACAACAGACCUUAAAAGACACUAUAAUUUUCUUCUCAUAAAGCAAAUUUAAUUGUAGUUUUAUUGUACCUUCAGUGUUUAUUAAGGCAAUAAUGCAAUUAUUAAUUAUUUAAGCAUGACUUUAUAAUAAAAACUGCAAUAUCAGGUGUUCUUCCACCAGUUAUCUAGUUCAAAUGGAGUCUACAUAUACCACAGCAGGAGAAAAGCUAUGUUCUGUCCCCAGACUGACAAAGUUAGUAGAGUAGCAAGCGAUUUUCUAUAGAUAUGGCCAAAUUCAACUCUUUCCAUAUUGCCCCAGACAAUUCAGGAAAAGCUUCAAAUAGCUACAUCAGAUUAGGAAUUGGUCCAAGUGGUGCUGUGGGCAGUUGUUGCUAUCUUUUUUUAAAAGGAUUUAUUCAGCUUUCCUAAAAUUCAUUUGAACAAAAUCUGUCAAUCUGCCUUGUAGGUAAUGUCUGACAAUUUGAUGGAUGGAUUGCAUUUUCUGAUAUUAGCAGAAAAAGAGAACACUUCUCUCCACAGAAAAAGGCUAUAAGAUUUGUGUGGAACGUACCUUCCUCUUCUGUCAAGGCAAUUGAAUGAUUACUAUAAUAAUAAUAAGUAAUGUUAGACCAGAGGCAAAAGAUUAAAAAGUUAAUCCCUGAUUCUCACAGGAUCUCCCUGUAGACGGUGCAGCAUUCUGCAUGAAAAGGAGUGAUGUUUUUAUUUCAGUAGUGAUUAAACAGGGAUCUACAUUGCAAACACAGAAAUAGUCAUAGAAAUGUACAGUCAUGAUGGCAGUGCCAACAAAAUACGAAUGAAAUGUCUGGGCAGAAGUAAUACAGAAACACUUAUUCUCCCAAUCUUCUUUCUCUGAGCUGCAGGAUACUGAGGGAAUCUUGCAUCAUGCUCACCCAUUCUGGAACAGCCAAAAUAUUAAAAUAGAGGAUCAUAUUUAGUAACCCACACAGACUCCGGUAUCAAUCAGUGUAAAGGGUUUCAAAGAAAGCAGCAGGGAUCCUCCACAAAGAUAGUUACAGAAUAAACUAGCAAAAUCCUCUUUCUAGCAUAUACUGCUUUAUUCCCUCUGGGACAUCUUUCUCCAUAAUUGGCAAUGCAUGACUUUGCAUAAUCAGUUCUAAUUAAAAAAAAAUAUAUAUAUAUAUAUGUAGUUUGGCCAUGACACAGAAAUUUCCACUGCACAUCACUUGUGCCUGCAAUACAGCCCUAAAGUCAGCAAAGAUGCAGUGAUGUACAGCCCAAUGAAUGUGGAGAUGGAUUCCAGCAGCAAAACCUUUAUUACAUUGCAAAACUACCUCAGAGAAUUGCCAGUAUUUUUCCAGAUCUCAGCAGGCCAUCUCUGAGGGUCAGGAAGCCCAACCGAUUUUUUUUUUCUAUAACAUCAUGUCUACUCUAUCUCAAGCUCUGGUAAGGAAGCAUAUUCACUGUCCUUAUUUAUGAGUUUGCAUGAUGAACAUGCAGCUUUUUGAAAAAAAAAAAAAAGAAAAAAGAAAAGUUAGGUGCUUAAUUUUAUGAUGGGAAGGUGCAAUCUGGGUAGAUCCAUCUAUCUGCUAUAAUUGGCGGAUGCACUGCAACUGUAACUAGGCAGAUUUACAGAUACAAACACAUUCAGACUGGUGAAACCUUGCUGGUAGAGUGGAAUAUUUCAAAGGCAUCUUUAAAUGGAGUGAAAAAGGGUAUUUAUGUGAAACAAAACUGCAUUCCUGCAGGAGACACAAGUUAAGAAAUGAGGAGUUGCCUUAAGUAAAUCAGUCAUCAGGCCUGAAGAUUGUAGAAAGCUUUGGAAAAGAAUAUGCAUUUAGUGGUAUAAUUCUACUUAGGAAAAAAAAAAUCAUGAAAUCAAUGAAGUCAUAUCAGCCUGUAUUCACUUCACAGAGGGGAAGCCAAUGACAGGAGUUCACUUAGAGAAAACCUGCCGGAAGAUAUGAUAAGAAAGAUAUGAUAAGAUAAUAUGAUGGUCACUAACCAGAAAAUACCUGGAAGCAAAGCUGAUAACAAUGUCAUGAUCACGUUACUAUUUGAUUUAUGUGUAUAGGCUUCCAAGCACAAAAUUCUGUUUUAUCUUUUUUGUCCUGUGAUUUAAUUGUUGAAUUAAUUCAAAGAGGCCUCAAACUGCUUCUGUGCAUGGUGAUGAGGAGUGACCCUAAAGGUUUGACAGUUGCCUCAACUCACCAUGUUUUGUCACGUCUUCUCAUUAAACUCCAUCUAUUUUUCAAACUAUUUUUCCUGGAUGAGGGGCUCUUUAUUCCACAUGCACCUGGAGAGAGCAGAGUGUGUGUAUCCCAUGUGAUUGUGUAAGACCAUGAGGCCUAGAGGUCAGCCAUGCCUUUACUGGGCUACUGGAUUCAGCAAUUCAGCAAUUCCUAAUGUCUGAAGCUGACAAACUAAACAAUGCUUUAGAACUAAGAAGUUCAGUGCCUCUGAGACUAUCAUAAAUUACUUCAAGUGGGUAUUGGUCAAGUUUAACUAAGAUAGUUUUGGAACAAAAUAAAAAUCAAAAUAAAAGAAACUAGUCAUAUAUUAUACUGUUCCACUGAGACAAUAUAUAAAUUCUUCUGGCUCUCUAAUGAAUGUUAAAUUGACACGUGAGAUCAAGAGAAAUGCAUUUUCUACCAAGGAAAAAAGCUAGCAUUAUCAGCAAAUAGAAAAAUAUCUUUCUGCUGGGUUGUGUAGUGUUUUGCCUGUACAUAGUACAGUCUCCUGUGGUGAACUGCUGUAACACUUGAUGUUUUGGAGGAACAACAAUAACAACAAAAAAAUAAAGGAAUAGAAAUAGAAGUUGAGGGUUACUAUUUUGCAGCUACAAUGUUGGGGGUUCUGUGCAAAUGAUGUGGAUUAUCAUCAUCAAUGUCAUGUGAUUUCAAUGAGUAAUCAUGCGUUCUUGUUAUUCUCUCAGCUAAAAUAAUAAAUGAAAAAAAGUGGAAAAUUGCACCAAAUUAAUGUAUUCUUGUGACAAAAUAGUGAUGAGAACUGAAAGUCAUUCACAAGACAAGCUAAAAUCUGUUUGUUCUGAUGUCUUAUAUGGAGUAAUCACAAAAAAUGGAUGAAAUGGUUGAACUGAAGUAUCAGAAAGAAGCUGCCUCUCUUCAUAAAGUACUUAAGUUUAAAGAGGUCUAUAUUCUUUUUCCUCUGUCCAACACUUUGGAAUCCUAAUAUUCUCUGUUAAUGGAAAUUUGCAUUAACUGGAGAGAGAAGAAUAUAACCCUUUGUAAGAUACACAGUUGAAAUGAAGAUUUAAAUUCAGAUAAUAUGAAAAGAGAAAGACAGCCUGAAACUGCAAGAGACAAGCAAAGAGAAACAAAGAAAAUGGAGUUUUUCUUACGGUUUGUCACAUAGAUUUCUGCUACAUUCAAAGAAAAGUAACCCGCUUCCCAGAAACUUCUUACAAGACGGGAAAAACACUGCCUCCACAGCUCCCAUAGUUCUCCACUGAUACAUGCAAUUCUCUUCUACCCAGUCUCUGGACCCGAGGCUUCAGUGUUGUUUGUUAGAGACUGAGAAGAAAUGAGGCUUCAAAAUCCCUGCUCUCUUCUGUCCUCCCAGCUUACAGGCUCCUAAUGGAAACAGACUGAAACAAUCCUAAAUUGCUAUAGUUUGAAAACUUGAAAAAUAGAUUAUUAUGGUGAGGCAAAAAAUGCGAGGAAGUUGAUAACCUACACACUAAGGCUCAGCCCAGCGUGAAUCAAAGAGACAGUUAGGAAGUCUUGGAAAAUGGCAAUUGUAAUGAAAAUGUCUACUGACCCUUGACUAAUAGUGUCAGCAACCCAACAGUGCUUAAUUAUUAAAAUCAACACAUGUCCUGCGCUGACAGCCCAGUGUUUUGAACUGCAUUAUUCUCAUGAAGAAGAAGAAACAACAAAUAGCAGUAGCAAAUAUCCCUUCUUUAUUUAUUCUUAUCUGCUCUCUCUUUUUGCUGAUUCCAUUGCACAGCAGUUAGAAAGGUCAGUGUGAUUACCUUUUCCAUGGGUUUGCUAAGAAUCAGUGUUUCCCUUAAUAAACCAAACAUAAAUUUCAGCAACUAAAGACAAUGAAGAUGUAUUUGUGUAACCUCUACCUUAAAAAGGGAGGGCAUGCUGUGGUGCAACAUAUUGAAUUCCAUAAUAACAAUAGGGUCAUAGGAUCACAGCAAAAUUCAGGUUGGUAGGGAGAGCAGAAGGUCACUAUUCCAGCCCUCAAGAAAAUAAGUUACACCUUUUUAGUCCAGUGUUGAAGUCCUUCAGAAGUUGUCUUUGUUUCCAGUACUGCUAGGAAUGUGAUCAGGUGGGAAAAAUUUAUGUCCUUUGAAAAAACAGGUGGUUAUCAAUUUACUUCAGAGACUGCUGUAUGUGGUACUGCAGACUUCAGGUCCAUUGUUCUGUCAGCAUAUUCCCCUUUUUUCCUUUCUCACUUUUUAAGAAUGCUUUCUCCACUUUGUUUAAGUAGUAAUGGUGUGAAAUUCUUGCUGAAAUACUGUUAUGAUGGGAACACUGGCAGGCCUGAGAAAUUGAUGUGGUUAUUCCUGAGAAGCUAAUUAAAAUGCUUACAAAAUAAUCUGAAAAUGCUCAGUUUUCUCUUCUAAGUGUUAAAUUGUGUUAUCAAGAUAUUUAGCUGACAUUUCAGACUUCUUUAUAUGCUUAAAAUGGAAUAGUUAAAAGAGAAACUUCCAUUAUAUUUUCAAUAUGGGAAAGCAUAUUUUAAAAACAAACAUAUUUUUUAAAAUUACAGUAUUUGUUGAGAAAAAUAACGUGCUCAUAAAAGUCUUCAUAUUUUACUGAUAUGGCCUUUCUGCCCCUGGUAAUGUAUGCAUAUGUGUUUAUAUAUAAAUACUUAUUCAUAUGUUUGUAUAGGUGUGUGCACCUGUAUGUGUAUGAUGCCAGUACUCCAAGAGUGUUGAAAAAUGUUAAAAUAAAUGUUAGAAAUGCUCUGAAAGUGAACAGAAUGUUUCAUCUAAUAGCACUGUUCUCAUAAAAGUAAAAUACACAGCAAAACAGUAAAAUACUGAAUGUCCCAAUCAUUAUGAAGCUGUGUUCAGCUUGGUUAGCCUUCUCCUUGCCAUGGGACCUUUAAGCAUUUACUGGGACAAAUGUGGAAGUGCUGAAUCUGGUGUAGGACUAACAGAGCUGUGCAAGUGUGUUAAGACCAGUGUCUAUCCAAGAAGCACAAAAAAAUUUGCACUUUACCAGAAACCUUCUGGGGACAGCAUUCUGUUCUGAAUAAGAGAAAAGGUCAGAUGGAUUGGUAUGCCCUAAGGCAGGAGGAGGCACACUCAGGAUCAACUGUGUUUGGGAGGAGACCACUCUGAAAUUCUGCACUUCAGGUAGUACUUCUAAUCCCUUCUAAUCCCUUCUGCUAUAGGUUCCAGUCCUCCAAAAGCAUGUUUUGCCACAUAUUUAACUUAAAUAUAUUAAUUAUCCCACCAAGGCUGAUAAAAAUAAAAACAAAAUAAAUAAAUAAAUAAGUAAGUAAAAUUCUGGCAGGCUUGAGGUGUACGUAUGUACCACAUGAAAUGCCAGCUCUGUUCAUUCCUUACUCCAUCGUAACUUUCUCAUGACAGCAAUUUUAAGAUGACACCUGUUUGGUUACUAAGCAUCCUGCAGUCUCUUUUGCUUUAACAGAAAGCUGUCAGAAGUUAGUCCAGAUCAUUCAGUAGUGCCCUGGGCUUGGAGAAUCUCUUUGCAGAGAUUCUCAGUUCUACAGAGAAGAGUCAUCUUGCCAUAGAUUUUAACUCUUGAAAUGUAGGCUCAAUAAAGUGUCUUCUAAAUAAAAAAAUAAAAAUAAAAAAAUAAAGUGGAUUUAAUGAAAGCCUUCUCAGAAAACUGUAUUUCAAAGUCUAAAUCUAAAAGCUUCUCAAAAUGUUACCAUAAUUUUAGGAAAGUACUAGUAGCCUUUUUCUGUAUCUUAUUUCUUUUAUAAGGUCAAACAUUCAAAAAUCACUUGUAAUUUUGUCAAUUUUUGAAUAGUCCUCUCCUUUUUAGAUUGUUGCAUGAAUAAGUAAAAGAUCAUUGUGAAGCAUAAUAACAAUGUGUUUUCUAAUGUAAAGAAACAUAUUCACUUGUUAUCCCAUUAGAACAUGUGUAUAUUUCUUUGUCAUUAAAGAUCAUCAGAAAUAUUUCAUGCCA